ensembl:lncRNA
CCCCAAGCUUUCCUUCUUGACACACCGCGUAGACAACAGCUGAGACUGCCUCCUCGCGACGUCGUCCAAGCCCUGCUCACAAGCAGUCUCUAGCCUUCUCCCUUCCAGCUGCCCCUGAGUGGGAAGCAUCACUGUGUGGGAACAAAGUUUCAAGUCAUCAUCAUCUUGGGGAUCCUUUGCCACAGACUGCGGGGCUCCCGAGACGGGAUUCUGAGGCUGGAAUCUAUGAUCAAAUUUCUGACCAACAGAAGAAAGUGUUUCCUUUCCCUUUGGUUUUCCAGGUUUAGCUGCAGAAGCCCCGGUCCAGUGCAAAGAUCCAGCACCCUCUGGUGUAGACACCAACAUCCGACAACGCGUAGGAAUAGCCAGGAGGGAGUCGUUGUGAGAACGGACAUUAUCCUGCGUGGGAAGUCUAUGGGCUUCAAGAUGACUGGUUGGGCUGCCAUGGGUGGGGGUGCCGAGGCCAUGCGUGGCAGCAGGGAACCUCUGUGGCAGACCUGGUCAGGGAGCUGGGACCUCGGACCAGCGAGGAGCUGUUCAUCUGUUACGACAGUGCUGAGCCGUGGCAGCCACCUCCAGAGUGUGGUUCCAGCCGUGAAGACGUAGGCCGAGUCCUACAGAAAGAAGCCAUCUCCACCGCUGCCAUAGCUUGGUGUCAUACGAAGAAAACAGCAAGAAGGAAUCUGGGGACCUGUUAAAGGAAAGUGACCCCUUCUUAACCAGGAUUGACUGCUAGAAGUUUCAUGAAAACUGCCUCCCCCUAACACAGAACCCAAUUUAUAUCCAGGAGAGUGGCUGAGAGCAAGUCCGGGAAAUAGUUUUAUCUAUUUAAUCUUUACAAAUAGGAGGAGGGUAAAGUGGAGGUUUAGAAAGCAGUACAAGUAUCAUACAGCUGGAUAUACAAUUCUAGAUUAAACAAUUUUUCUGAGAAUUUCGAAGGCAUUGCUCCAUCAUGCUCUAAUUUAUGGUUUCACUGUUGAAAAGUCUAAUGCCCUUCUCAUUCCUUGCUAAGUGACUUUCUUUCUUUCUUUCUCUUUCUUCUUUUUUUCUUCUUUCUUCUUUCUUUCUUUCUUUCUUUCUUUCUUCUUUCUUUUUUCUUUCUUUCUUCUUUCUUUCUUUCUUUCUUUCUUCUUUCUUUCUUUCUUUCUUUCUUUCUUUCUUUCUUUCUUUCUUUCUUCUUUCUUCUUUCUUUCUUUCUCCUUCCCUCUGGAGGCUUUGAGGAUCUCUUCUUUCUGCCUGGCAUUCUAAGAUAUUGUAAUGAUGUAGUUGGUAUGAGUUGUUUUUCUUGCAUUUUGCUGGAUGCUCAGUGGACCCCUUCAAUCUGAGUCUUAUGACCUGUGCUAUGGACUAAAACUUGUGUCCCCCUCUCUCCAAAUUUACAUGUUGAAGCCUACUCCCCAAUGGGACAGCGGGGCCUUUGGGAGGUUCUUUGAUCACAAAAGGGAGUAGGAUCCUUAUAGAAGAGGCCCCAGAGAGCUCCGUCACCCCUCCACCAUGUGGGAACACAGUGAGACAGAGAUGGGUAGCAGUGAAUCAGGAAGAGGGACCUCAUCAGACCCAGAAUUUGCCUGUGCCGGGACCUUGGACUCAGCCUCCAGCACUGUAA